UUCUUUGAUCGAAGUAAAAAAAAAAAACCCACAAUUUCAGAACAAAUGUCUAAUUAUAGUCCGUUAGUUUGUAUCUGAAGUUGCUCGAGGCAUAAGGCAGUAGCUUCAAAACGGAGACCCGACUCUGUGACUGUAUGGCGGAUUACUGAAAUCUGAAUGACGUUGGCGGACGUUAAAAAGGCGAAACAAAACUAUAGAGUUGAAAGACGCAUUAAUCACCGUCCAGUACUAAGUGUAGUAGCUGUAUGCUAGCUAGCGCGCUUGUUCA